rnacentral:rRNA from 1 species
GAUGAACGCUGGCGGCGUGCCUAAUACAUGCAAGUCGAGCGAACAGACGAGGAGCUUGCUCCUUUGACGUUAGCGGCGGACGGGUGAGUAACACGUAGGUAACCUACCUAUAAGACUGGGAUAACUUCGGGAAACCGGAGCUAAUACCGGAUAAUAUUUCGAACCGCAUGAUUCGAUAGUGAAAGAUGGCUUUGCUAUCACUUAUAGAUGGACCUGCGUCGUAUUAGCUAGUUGGUAAGGUAACGGCUUACCAAGGCAACGAUACGUAGCCGACCUGAGAGGAUGAUCGGCCACACUGGAACUGAGACACGGUCCAGACUCCUACGGGAGGCAGCAGUAGGGAAUCUUGCGCAAUGGGCGAAAGCCUGACGGAGCAACGCCGCGUGAGUGAUGAAGGUCUUCGGGUCGUAAAACUCUGUUAUUAGGGAAGAACAAACGUGUAAGUAACUGUGCACGUCUUGACGGUACCUAAUCAGAAAGCCACGGCUAACUACGUG